rnacentral:tRNA from 1 species
UGGGAUAUGGUGUAAUGGUAACACAUAAGACUUUGACUCUUAUAACUCAGGUUCGAAUCCUGAUAUCCUAG